ensembl:snRNA U6 U6 spliceosomal RNA
GUGCUAUGCCUGCUUCAGAAGCACAAAUACUAAAAUUCAAACAACAAAUAAGAGUAACAUGGCCCCUGCCCAAGGAUGUACACAAUCCAUGAAGGAGUCCAUAUUUUU